rnacentral:rRNA from 1 species
UGUGUAGGCGGUGCUCUAAGUCUGUCGUGAAAUCUCCCGGCUUAACUGGGAGGGUGCGGCGGGAACUGGAGUGCUAGGAGGGUGGGAGAGGAAAGCGGAAUUCCUGGUGUAGCGGUGAAAUGCGUAGAUAUCAGGAGGAACACCUGCGGUGUAGACAGCUUUCUGGACCACUUCUGACGCUGAGACACGAAAGCGUGGGUAGCAAACA